AUGAGCCCCCGGUACUCCCCAAUUAAGGUCUCACCAGCCCGCCUGUGCACCGUCACCACAUGUAGCUAUAGAUUUAAUAGAGUUUAGAGAGUCUUAAGGUAACUAAAUGUAGCUAUAGAUUUAAUAGAGUUUAGAGAGUCUUAGGGUAACUAAAUGUAGCUAUAGAUUUAAUAGAGCUUAGAGAGUCUUAAGGUAACUAAAUGUAGCUAUAGAUUUAAUAGAGCUUAGAGAGUCUUAAGGUAACUAAAUGUAGCUAUAGAUUUAAUAGAGCUUAGAGAGUCUUAAGGUAACUAAAUGUAGCUAUAGAUUUAAUAGAGCUUAGAGAGUCUUAAGGUAACUAAAUGUAGCUAUAGAUUUAAUAGAGCUUAGAGAGUCUUAAGGUAACUAAAUGUAGCUAUAGAUUUAAUAGAGCUUAGAGAGUCUUAAGGUAACUAAAUGUAGCUAUAGAUUUAAUAGAGCUUAGAGAGUCUUAAGGUAACUAAAUGUAGCUAUAGAUUUAAUAGAGCUUAGAGAGUCUUAAGGUAACUAAAUGUAGCUAUAGAUUUAAUAGAGCUUAGAGAGUCUUAAGGUAACUAAAUGUAGCUGUAGAUUUAAUAGAGCUUAGAGAGUCUUAAGGUAACUAAAUGUAGCUAUAGAUUUAAUAGAGUUUAGAGAGUCUUAAGCUAACCUUUAGGCUCAAGGUUUGUGAAAACAGAACAAAUCUAAUGAGGGUCAUUUAGAGCUAGACUGUAGAAGGAUGGAUCUCUAUGUUCAGACGGCCGAGGGACACACUACACAGGACACAGUCUGAUCUCUCUGUUCAGACAGCCGAGGGAUAUACACACUACACAGGACACAGUCUGAUCUCUCUGUUCAGACAGCCGAGGGACACACUACACAGGACACAGUCUGAUCUCUAUGUUCAGACAGCCGAGGGACACACAACACAGGACACAGUCUGAUCUCUAUGUUCAGACAGCCGAGGGACACACUACACAGGACACAGUCUGAUCUCUAUGUUCAGACGGCCGAGGGACACACAACACAGGACACAGUCUGAUCUCUAUGUUCAGACAGCUGAGGGACACACUACACAGGACACAGUCUGAUCUCAAUGUUCAGACAGCCGAGGGACAUACACACUACACAGGACACAGUCUGAUCUCUCUGUUCAGACAGCUGAGGGACACACUACACAGGACACAGUCUGAUCUCUCUGUUCAGACAGCCGAGGGACACACUACACAGGACACAGUCUGAUCUCUAUGUUCAGACGGCCGAGGGACACACAACACAGGACACAGUCUGAUCUCUCUGUUCAGACAGCCGAGGGACACACUACACAGGACACAGUCUGAUCUCUAUGUUCAGACAGCCGAGGGACACACUACACAGGACACAGUCUGAUCUCUAUGUUCAGACAGCCGAGGGACACACUACACAGGACACAGUCUGAUCUCUAUGUUCAGACG